rnacentral:tRNA from 1 species
GUAAGAAUGCCAGAGGAAAUAUGGAGUUGGUUUAGGACCAGCUUACGGUAUUUAUUACCUUCUUACU